rnacentral:lncRNA from 1 species
UAUCGAUGGAGCGUGUGUGGUUAACCGGCACAUCGAUUGAGUGAUAAACUUUAAGGGUACCAAGUGAUUUGCAUGGUUACUUCACACCUCGUUUUGUGAUCCUCGGUAUCCCAGUCACAAAACUUGGAGGGCACACUCGAGAUUGAAACAUGCCUUUGAAAAGUUCAUUGAAUCUCAAAGAAUCUAGGAAUUUCUAAGAACCAUUCAAAAACCUAAUACUAAAAUAUUGCGGUUUUCGUGGUGGAAAUUGGUGAAUCGUCAUUCACCUACCUUUCAAAUAUGAUAUAGCUUAGAUUACGGCAUACCUCUUCUAAGUUAUAUUAUAUUGUGAUUGGAUCCUAGCCUUAAUAUUACAUUUGGGUGUUUUAUUAAGGACUCUCUUAUAUCUAAACUAAUCUUGUCCUCUUUCCUUCAGAUGUCUUUCAACAAUGCUUCUGGCUCUAAUCCUAAUGGCUCCUUUACCCUUAUGAACUUGUGUGGGAAAGUCACCUUUGAUGGAUCCAACUUCAAUGAGUGGAUCAGAAACAUCAGGAUGAUUACCCGCUACGAGGACAAAGAAUAUGUCCUUGACAAGGAGCUUAAGGAGAUUGAUGAGUCCACUGCAACUCCUCAGGAGAUCGCUGAAUUUCGGGCACAUGAAAGGGAUGCUACGAAAGUGGCUUGCAUCAUGAUGGCCACGAUGACAGCGGAACUCCAAAAGUCUUAUGAGGAUUUCUACCCUUAUGACAUGCACCAAGAUUUGAUGGAAAGAUACCAUCAAAGUGCAAGACAAGAGAGGUAUGAAAUCAUCUGCUCCAUGAUAACAACCAUGAUGAAGGACGGGGAAUCCGUCACGAGCCACAUGCAGAAAAUGCAAAGGUAUGUGGAUCGUUUGCUGAAGCUUAAUGUGAACUUCCCGGAGGAUCUUGCAAUAGAUAUUAUUUUGCAUUCCUUACCAUCGUGCUAUGAUCAAUUCCGCAUGACAUAUCACAUGAACAAGGAAGAAGUCACCCUCAGCAAACUUCAGGGACUUCUCAAGACCGCAGAAUCAGGUCUUAAGGGGAAGUCGGUUGCUAUCACUCCUACUCAAAACUCUACUCCGGUUUUGGCAAUCGGGAAAAGUCGAGGGAGGAAGAGAAAGAGCUCUUCUAAGGGUACCAAGGCUCGGACCCUUGAUGGCUCUUCUUCAAGUGGAACCAAGAAAGGUUUCAUUACUCCUUCUUCUGACCCAAAAGAGGCUGAAUGCUUCUAUUGCCAUGAAAAAGCUCAUUGGAAGCGGAACUGCCCAAAAUACCAGCAAGAUGUGAAGGAUGGGAAAGUUAAACCCAACCAUGCAGGUAUUUACACUAUCAUUUCUAAUAACUCACCCCAUUCUAAUUCUUGGGUCCUUGAUACCGGGUGUGGUAUUCACAUUUGUUGUGACUUGCAGGGACUAAGAAGAAGUGAGGAUGUGGAGCAAGGAAGGAUAAACUUGAUCAUGGGGAAUAGGAAAGCUAUACCUGUUACCAAGAUUGGAGUUUAUACUUUAUCGCUAAGUAGUGGGUUUAGUUUAGAUUUGAAUAAGUGUUGUUAUUCGCCAGGAAUGGCAAGAAAUAUUAUUUCCUUUCAUGCUUUGUACAAACAAGGGUUUACCUUUUCAUUUAAUAAUGAAGUUGGUUCUAUUGAUGCUUUCUUUAAUAAUGUUUUUUAUUUUAAAGCAUUACCUUGUGAUGGUGUGUAUGAAGCUGUAUCUGUUGUAGAUAACUUAGGAAAUAAUGUUUUGUGUAUUGAUUCUACUAAUAAUAAUAACUUGGAUAAAGCAUCAUUAUGGCAUUGUCGUCUUGGACAUAUAAGCAAGAAACGCAUAGGCCAACUCCAAAAGGAUGGAGUCUUGGAGUCAUUUGACCUAAAGUCAGAUGAUAGUUGCGAAUCAUGCUUACUUGGAAAAAUGACGAAGUCACCCUUCACAGGUUCUUGUGAGAGGGGUGAAGGUUUGUUGGACCUUGUACACAUGGAUGUGUGUGGACCAUUCAAACAUGCCACAAGGGAUGCUAAUCGUUAUUAUUUGACUUUUACUGAUGAUUACAGUAGAUAUGGAUAUGUCUACUUGAUCAAGCAUAAGUCAGAGACUUUCGAAAGGUUUAAGGAAUUUAAACAGGGAGUCGAGAAUCAAUUGGGCAGGAACAUUAAGAUGCUUCGAUCCGAUCGUGGUGGUGAGUAUCUUAGUUCAAAGUUCCUUGACUAUCUAAGGGAGUGUGGGAUUGUCUCACAAUUGACACCUCCCAGGACACCACAAUUGAAUGUUGUGGCUGAGAGGCGUAAUCGAACCUUGUUGGACAUGGUUCGUUCCAUGAUGAGUCGAGCAUCGCUACCAAUCUCAUUUUAGGGGUAUGCCUUAGAGACUGUGGCUCAUAUCCUUAAUCUAGUCCCUACAAAGAAACUUGCCAAAACUCCUCAUGAGAUGUGGACUGGUAAAGUACCUAAACAAGACCACAUCAAGAUUUGGGGUUGCGAGGCUUUCGUGAGACGCGAGACUCAUGAUAAGCUCAAACCUCGAAGCGAGAGGUGUAGUAUCAUUGGCUACCUACAGCAAUCCUUUGGUUACCUCUUUUACAGACCUAAUGAAAAUGUGGUCUUUGUAGCUAGGAGGGCCAUCUUUCGAGAGAGAGAGAGAGAGCUCAUAAGCCAAGGAAACAGUGGGAGGCAAAUUGAUCUUGAAGAAAUUCAAGAGUCAAGCGGUGAAGGAACUUCAAACCCUAGCACUCAACUUGAGGAGGAAACUCCUGUUGAGCCAAUUGACAAGUCUGUACCUCUUUGGCGUUCCAUGAGAGUUACGAAUGCACCUAAGCAUUACUAAGGAUUCCAUAUUACUGCAGAAGGUGAUAAAUUUUUCAGUGAUGGGACGCUGAUAGGUCUGGAUGAACCUAACAUUUACGCGUAAGCCAUGGCAGGCCCUGAGUCAGCAAAGUGGAAAGAGGCAAUGGAUAGCGAGAUACAAUCCAUGUACGACAGUCAAGUUUGGAACUUGGUUAAGAAUGUACCAGGUCGUAAGACUGUAGGGUGCAAAUGGAUCUUCAAGAAGAAGACCGACAUGGAUGGUAAUUUACACACUUAUAAGCCUAGACUGGUUGCAAAGGGCUUCUCUCAAAUUCCUGGAGUGGAUUAUGAUGAGACCUUUUCUCCAGUAUCCAAGAUUAAGUCUAUUAUGGUUAUGUUAGCCAUAGCUACAUUUCAUGACUAUGAAAUUUAGCAAAUGGAUGUAAAAACUGCUUUCCUUAAUGGAAAGUUGGCUGAAGAUGUUUACAUGAGUCAGCCAGAAGGUUUUUUUAGCAAUGAGUACCCUAAUAGAGUGUGUAAGCUUGAGAAAUCCAUUUAUAGAUUGAAGCAAGCAACUCGCAGAUGGAAUCUUUGCUUUGAUGAAAAGGUCAAGGAAUUUGGCUUUUCUAGGAGUGAAGAUGAAUCUUGUGUGUAUGUCAAGGCUAGUGGGAGUAUAGUUAGCUUUUUGGUAUUGUAUGUGGAUGACAUACUACUCAUAGGAAACGACAUUCCAACUCUGCAGGAAGUAAAGUCCUGGCUUGGGAAGUGUUUCGCUAUGAAGGACCUUGGUGAAGCUGCCUAUAUUCUAGGGAUAAGAAUCUUGAGAGAUCGGAGUAAAAGACUAAUUGGACUUAGUCAGAGUACCUACUUGGAUAAGGUGCUGAAGAGAUUCAGCAUGCAGGAUUCCAAGAAAGGAGAGUUACCCAUCCAGAGUAACACCAGAUUGAGUAAGACACAAAGCCCUAGCACUGAGGCUGAGAUAGCAGAAAUGAGUCGAACACCUUACGCUUCGGCUGUAGGAUCGAUCAUGUAUGCUAUGACGUGUACUCGACCCGAUGUAGCUUUUGCCUUGAGCAUGGUUAGCAGGUAUCAGGCGAACCCUGGCAAGGCACACUGGACUGCGGUAAAGAAUAUCCUCAAGUACCUACGGAGGACUAAGGACUGGGUCCUUACCCUCGGUGGGAGUGAUGACUUGAGAGUUGUAGGGUAUAGUGAUGCUAGCUUCCAGACUGAUAGGGAUAAUUUCCGCUCUCAGUCGGGCUGGGUCUUUACCCUAAACGGAGGAGCAAUUUCUUGGAAGAGUUCCAAGCAAGAGACAGUGGCAGAUUCUACUUGUGAAUCAGAGUAUAUUGCAGCUAGUGAAGCAGCAAAGGAGGCGAUAUGGCUGAAGAACUUCAUUGGAGACCUUGGAGUUGUACCAGCUAUUAAAGAGCCAAUGGAAAUUUUCUGUGAUAGUGAAAGUGUUGUAGCCUUAGCCAAGGAACCUAGGGAUCACGAGAGAUCCAGACACAUCGACAGAAAAUAACAUUUUAUCAGACAUCGGAUAGAAGAAGGACUCCUCGUGGCAAAGAGGGUAUCAUCGGAUGAGAACCUAGCAGAUCCCCUCACGAAGGGACUGACUCGGGUUAAGCAUCUUCAGCAUGCUCGGAGCACAGGGCUGAAGGAUGAUACUAGAUUUAGUAGUUAGAUAACCUCGAAAUUUGUAAAGUGUAAUUGACAUUAGAUGAUGAAUAAAAGGUGUUUUAUUUAUGAGUAAAGUGUUGCUAUCUCUUGUCGAUCGUUUACUAUAUUUCUUUUGCAUGUUUUGACUUCCAGAAUAAUUUUGUUUGGUAUAACAUAUUAUUCAAACCUCCACAGUCGGUCAUAUGUUGGAAGUAGAUAUGAAUCAAGACUGUCAUGUUUGGUUGUAGAGGUCUUGGACAAGGCUACAACAAUCAUGAGUGCUCAUAAGUUCUGAGCAUUGGACUCAACCCACGCUCACUGGAAUCACUUCAUGGAAUUCUAUCUCGAGUGAUCGUGAGAUGGUAAUAUCAUAUAUGUCUUCAAACCAAGAUAUAUGAUUUGUUACUUACAAGUUGCUUAUGCAUUGAUUAUACGAAAACGCAUUGGUAACUCGAUGUUAUAAAACGUGCUUUUGUGUAUAAUUCAAUGAGUGGUAGAACAAACAUAUGAGUCGAAGUUUAUAUGUUCCUUCAUAGAUUAGAAGCUGAUAUCUGGGCCCAUCGAUGAUUUUGUUUUGACCUAUGUACCGGGCCCGAUCAGAACUAAGUUGAUGUGUUCAAUUAAGUUCUAUGUCAAACAAAUCGGAAAUCGGGAAACAAAUGCUGGACAAUAAGUAAGACAUUGUUCCAUGUAUUUGUCCGGCUGAUAUCUAGAACAGAGGAUUAUAUGAUCACUUAUCUUAAAUGGCGUACCAUCAUCUUCUCAGUUCCGAGAAACCUUGAAAGAGCUACGAUUGCCGGUCGGUUCCUGAAGUACUAGAGAUAUAGUUAUUAGACUUAUCCAAGUGGGAGACUGUUGGAUAAGGUGUCUAAGUCCAUAACUAUUUCGGGCUUGUACUUGACCCGACCCGGCAUGGUCCAUUUGGGUUGCAUGGCACCAUGCAAUUGGAUAGACUAAAUGAGAGAAAUAACAUUUGGAGAUUAUUAAUAUAUUAUAAGUUCUAAUAUAUUAAUAAUAUUAUUUGAUUAGUUUGAACAAGAAUUAAUUUAGAAUUAAUUAAGUGAUCAAAAGAUAACUAAUUAAAUAUAUGGGUUGAUUAUGUAAAUCAUCCAUAUCUUGUAUAGUGGGAUAAGAGGCUCCAUGGAUUAACAAGUUGGGUUCCACCCAUAGGAUACUCCAUGGAUGCUCCAUGGGAGUUACAAACCCAUGGGUCAUGGAAAUGAAGAGUCAUGACACAUUAGGGUUUACAUGGUAUAACCCUAGAUGUGUCAACAAUAUAUAAGAAUCCCAUUCUACACCAAAAUUGGCUACACAUAUGAAACAACAGGGCUAGGCCGAUUUUAAGAAGUGUGCAUUCUCUCAAAAGUCUUUCGAAGAGCAUUUGGUGUUGUGUGAAGCAUUUGAGGCAUCACACUUGGGGUGCUAGGAUCACAAGGUUUCAAGGAACAUAAGCAACAACAAGGUAAGUUAUUCUAUCUUUUAUUCAAGUUAAAUAUUGUUCCCCAUGUAUGCUAGAUAAGAAUAUAACCUUGGAAUUCAACUUUGCAUGAUAAUUAGAUAAACAUAGAUCCAAGGUUAUUAGGGUUGCAUGUACACUUAGGAAGUGUUAGAAUGCUCAAAACCCAUCACUUACAUCAACCAAGAUCGGAAAAUUUUGACAUACUACAACCUAAUCAAGACCUAACUGGUCCAAGAUUUACAAACGUAGGAAACUAGACUAAAGUUUUUACACAAACUAGGUUAUAUCCAAAAGAAUAGUUGAUGAGAAUCUAUCGGCGACGAGAAUUACUAGAGUGAGUUCUUGACUCCGACAGAAGAUGUUCUAUGUCCCUCACACACCUAUCGGAUCUUACUUGCUGAGUUUGAAUUUCCCUGACUUCAGCUUGGGUUUCAGCAAGUUCUCUCUGUAGAGCUGCGUUAAGGCUAGAGUUGGCGUCAAUCUCCACGACUCGGCCGAUAGCUGCUCGACCCUUCUUUGUGUUCCGAGAAAUCCUACGAACUAUAAUGAGUAGGACUCUGUCAGCGGAACAUCCCUCAGUGAAUGGGUUGACCUUGCUCCUAACUCCAUCUAUUCAAGUUUGUGGCCCAUAGGGGUUUAGGUCUUUGAAAUGCUGGACGGGGGUUUCGGUUUUCCCUAGCUAGGGGUAGGUUGUUGAUUUCUGGCUCUAAGUCAGAACCAUCAGAAAAUCCUUCAGCUUCAUAAUGAUCCAAAGGGAUUGGGUGAUCAUCUUCUGGCUCUUCUUCCAUCCAUCCUGCAUUGCCGUGGUUGGGGUAGUACGGGUCUCCGUGAAGAUGGAAUCCAACCAUUAAAUCUACGUGAAAAAAGAGGUAUAAGAUAUAACUAAGUAGACGAUCUAAUUAGAUAACUAUAAGAUGAUCUUUAUCAGUUACACCAAUAUUUGUCUAGAGCAUACCAGUUAUAUGUAUUUCGGGACGUGAUAAACCUUCGAAUAAGUGAUCCUAACUCUAAGUCCACAACCAAACAAGGAACAGGAAGUAAAGCAAAGAUCACAGAUUCUAAGUCUAUGACAUCCUAGUUACAUAUAGCCUUAGCGUAUCCACUAAACAACUAUUGACAUACUAAUAAAGACCUAAACAACUAUUGACAUACUAAUAAAGACCUUUAGUUCUCAGAUAGGUAAUCAUAGUAACACAAAAUACUCCUAUAGUAUUUUAAGUUUAAUGUUUUGUUGUAGUGUUCUUAUUGUAGUAGUGUUGGUAAGUUUUUAGACUUGUUGCAACCUCACAACCACACUUAGGCACAUGUUAAUCACUCCUCGGAUAAUGUAGUUGAUCAGGCUACAUCUUCCCAGGGUUGACCAUAUGUCUCUAAGUCUACUUGUGUUGCCCAACAAUCAUAAUACUUUUGUUCUGUCCUAGUGACACUGAUUUUAGUACGAAUGCAGGUAUGUAUACUUGGUUAAAUAUUUUAUUAUUUAACGGUAUAAACUCUUAAUCAGAGUAUUUUAAUCCUGCUUUUGUUUAUAGUUCGUAUAUCUUUUAAGGGUUGAUAUACUCUAUUCACUAUAAACAAAGCUUUGAUACCAAUCUGUCACACCCCAAAACCAUGAACAGCGGAAACGUUUGGGGGGUGGAGGACGUCAUGUACAAUAUCACAACAAUGCAAAGUAGUAAACAAGCAACAAAAUCAUCCAUUGCAUUAAUAAUAUAAUUUCAUACAAGUGUGUUCUGUCAAGAUAUAUAGACACCAAAAAUAUACAUCAAAAUAAAAGAGAAGUCUUGAACAAGCUCCGUCUUCUCAAAAAAAACCUGGUACCGGUACCUGUCUACUGGUGACCUGAGAAUACAAGUUAUUUUGAAAGAGUUUAUCAACUUUAAAGCUGGUGAGAUCAUAAGCAUACUAGUGUAUGUGUUUGUAUGAAAACAUUUGUAAGAUGUUUGUAAGAUGUAAUGUAUUUGUAAAGUUUGUAUUUGUUUGAACACUCCUAGAAAACCCUAUGUUUCAUACUAAAAGUGGCCUUCUACCAAGGCAUCUAGUAUUUGUAUGUGUGUCUCUUGUAAGAGUGUGUAUUUUCCCAAUUCCGACAAUCAUGAACCAAAAAUAUAGCUUUUACAUUACUGUGCAUCAUGUGAAUGUUCACUAAGUGAAUGUAAUGGGAAAAUAUUAUAGUACUGUAGUGUUGUAUUAAGUAACUACUGCUGUACUAACUACCGUAAACCAUUUGUUAUUUAAAGUACCAUGUGAUCGGCCUGUAUCCUGCUACCGACUCAAUAGUAAAACGACGGUGUAAGACGCCAUAAGAAAUGACAUUUGGCACCCAUAGACUUGCAAGUCCCACUUUAGCGAGCAACGAGGUGUAGGGUAGUCAAUCCAGUAUAGAUCUAUAUGCAAACUCAUAUGCUCCCCAAUUAAGGAGAUUCUGGAUACAAAAACGGUCAUGACAGGUAGUGCCAUGCCCCGUUUAAUGGCUCACAUAAAUGUAUUAAUGUAUAUGUAUUGUAUGUGCUAGCUGUAUUGUGUGUUCCUUCUCUGUCUAGCAUGUAUGUUCUGUUUCUCAUCAUAGUAUCUAUUGUUAGUUUCUCAUCAUAGUAUCUAUUGUUAGUUCCCCGUCAUAGUAUAUAUUAUUUUUUUUACUCAUGUAUGAACUGACUCUUUGUAUGUUUCAUUGUUCUAGUAAUAGUAUUAGUAUCUCCCUAAACUAUACCUAUUAUAGUUUACUAGAAUGGUGUUUGUGUAUAUGAGCUUCUUUGUAUACCCUUGCUACCCAAUGGUAUUGUAUUGAAUGAAGUAUCCUUUUAUAUCUAUAUACAUAUACAUAAUAUAUAAGUAGGAUUCAAACGACCCUCGGAUAGAUAACCCUGAUACCCUAAGGCUUCAACCAAACGAGGAACUGGAAGUAAGGUGAGCUAUCAGUCCUAAGUCCUUUCAAUCCUACUUAUAUAACUAUAUCUAUAUUGAUAUACUUUUAAUAGAAUAUAAGUUUAAAAGAUUAUAAGAAAUCGUAUUUGACAUGUAAAAGAGUUUGUAGAACAGUUUGAAGUAAAAUAGUUUGAUAACGCAGUUUGAAAAGUAAGAAAACCACUUGUUUGGUAGUUAUUAAUCACAUGUGAUUGAUAUAAUAACUAUAAUUGUUCAACUUGUAUCCCCCCAUAACAGCAUUUAGAAACAUUUAAAAGGUUAAUUAAAGGGGUAUGAACUCACCUGUAGUGAGUGUUUUGGAUGAAUGGAUUGUACAAGAUGUUAAGUGUCAAGUGAAGACUUGAGCACACACGCGGAUCCUAUUUGACAUAUAAUGUACAUAUAUGAAUAUAAUUAGUGCUUAUAACACCUAACUAUUCAAUUGAACACUCCUUAGGGUCUAGGAAACAAUAAUUUUGAAGUGUUACAACCACAUAUGAUUGUAUAUAAAGGGUAUAUGGCCAUACAAGGGAGUGUAUGGUCAAAAUACACACUAUUUGUGUGUGUACGGCCAGGGUGUGCGGCCAGGGGGUGUGUGUGGCCGCACACUCCCUAUGGAAUGUGUCAAAAUGUAUUUCAAGUCUUUAGGACUCAUCUAGGAAGGUCUCUUACUUCAUGCUUUAGCCUUAUAAGGAGUUUAUUGCCAUUUUUGGACAUAAAAAGGGUGUGUGCGGCCAGCAUGAUGUGUGUGGCCGCACACCCUUUAUGAAGAUGAUAAAAUCAUGUUUUUCCAGCAUAUUAACGAGUGUUCUUAGCAUAUAACAAGUUAUGAUAAGUGUAUACACGUUAUAGAGGCUUGAAAGGGUGAUUUAAGGUCCAAAACUAGUAUCUGUUCUUAGUGUUCUUGGCUAGAAAUGGAUAUUUUCAUGGAUCAAACGAAAGGGUUUUGCUAGUUAAGGUCGUAUAUCAACAAAUAAAAGGACGGAUUACUACCUUUUAUGAAUAUCGAGAUGAAGAUUUGGAUGAUACUUUAGAGGAUUUCGAGUUCUAGCUUUGAAGAAUUGGAAAAGUGUUCAAAAAUGACUAAGUGUUCUAUAUAUAGGGAGAGUGUGCGUUUGGGAUGGGUGUGUGGCCGCACACUCUUGUGUGCGGCCGCACACACCUUGUGUUGGUGUGAUUGGCUCAAGUGCAAGGCGAUACACCCACAAUAGUCAUCCCACGACUCAUACACUGCUUAUACUAGGCUUUAAACACUCUAUUUGACUCCAAACAGUGCUAGAAAAUAGAAAAAAACGAGUUUAACCCUCAUUGAUUUGAAUAUGUAUAAGAUAAAAAUUUUGGAUUGCCACAUACUUUGACUAAGUCGGAUUAGUCUUUUACUCCUAUUUCUCAAUAUCCUUAUCCCUAGAAUAUAAGCAGCCUCUUCGAGGUCCUUCAUAACGAAACACUUCCCAAGACAAGACUUAACCUCCUUAAAGGUUGGGACAUCGUUUCCUGUGAGUGGUAUGUCACCUACAUACAAUACCAAGAAGCUAACUAUACUCCCACUAGCUUUGACAUAUAUACAUGACUCAUCCUCGCUUCUCGAAAAAAAAACUCAUUAAAUUUCUCAUCGAAACAAAGAUUAUGUCUGCGAGAUGCUUGUUUUAAUCAAUAAAUGGAUUUUCAAGCUUACACACUCUAUUAGAGUAUUUCGCAUCUACAAAACCUUCUGGCUGACUCAUGUAAGCAUCCUCAGCUAACCUCCCAUUAAGGAAAGCGGUUUUGACAUCCAUCUGCCAUAUUUCAUCAUCAUGAAAUGCAACUAUGGCUAACAUAAUCCUUAUAGACUUGCUCUUCGAUACUGGUGAGAUGGUCUUGUCAUAGUCAACUCCAGGAGGUUGAGUAAAUCCCUUCGUAACCAAUCACGCCUUAUAAGAGUGUACUUUCCCAUCCAUGUUGGUCUUCUUCUUGAAGAUCCAUUUACACCUGACCAUCUUAUGACCUAGUACAUUGGCAACCAAGUUCCAAACUUGAUUGUGAUAUAUGGACUAAAUCUCGCUGUCUAUCUCCUCUUUCCACUUUACAGACUCUUGGCCCACCAUGGUUUCCUUGUCGUUGUUAGGUUCAUCCAAAUUUAUCAGUGUACUAUCAUUGAUAAACGUAUCGCCUUAAUUUUUAUAUGGAAACCAUAUAACAUAGACGGAACACUAACUCUACUGGAACUUCUAAGAGGUAAGGACUCAUCAAUUGGUUCAACAGGAGUUUCCUCCUCGGGUUGAGCGGUAGUCUUGGAGGUUCCUUCAUCACUUGAUUCUUGAAGCUCUUCAAGGUCAUUUUGCCUACCACUAUCCUCUUGGCAUAUGGGUUCUCUCUCUCGGAAAACCCCUCUCCUCGCAACGAAGACAACACUGUCACUCGGUCUAUAGAAGAGAUAUCUAAAGGACUUAUGUGGGUAGCUGAUGAAAAUGCAAUACUCACUACGAGGGUCGAGCUUGCCAUGAGUCUCUCGUCUUACAAAAGCUUUGCAACCCCAAACCUUGAUAUGUGCCAACGAGGGAACCUUCUCUGUCGGCAUUUCAUGAGGUGUUUUGGAAACCUUCUUAGUUGGGACUAGAUUAAGGAUAUGGACGGCAGUCUCUAAGGCAUACCCCCGAAAUGAGAUAGGUAGCAAAGCUAGAAUCAUCAUGAAACGAAUCAUGUCCAACAAGGUUCGAUUGCGCCUCUCAGCUACACCAUUCAGCUACGGUGUCCUAGGCGGUGUCAAUUGUGAAACAAUUCCACAUUCCUUAAGAUAGUCGUGGAGCUCCAUACUAAGAUACCACCACCUCGAUCGGAUCGGGGUAUCUUUAUCUUCUUUCCCAAUUGAUUCUCCACUUCUUGCUUAAGCUCUUUGAACUUUUCAAAAGUUUUUGACGUAUGCUUGAUUAAGUAGAUAUACCCAUAUCUGCUACAGUCAUUGGUAAAUUUACAUAGAAGCGGUUUGUAUCCCUUGUGGUGGAUCUAAAGGGUCCACACACAUCAAUGUGUAUGAGAUGCAAUAAUCCCCCACGCCUUUCACAAGUGCUUGUGAAUGGUGAUUUAGUCACCAUUCCAAGUAAACAUGACUCACACGUGUCAUCGGACCUAAGGUCAAAUGACUCCAACACUCCAUACUUUUAGAGUUGGGCUAGGCAUUUCUUGUUGACAUGUCCAAGAAGACAAUGCCACAAGCAUGCUUUGUCCAAACCAUUUGACGAAUCAAUAUGCAACACAUUAUUUCCUAAGUUAUCUACAACCAUCACAGUUUCAUAUACUUAAUUACAAGGCAAUGCUUCAAAACAAAAAGUACCAUUAUAGAAAGCAUUUAUAGAACCAAUUACAUUAUUAAAUGAAAAUCUAAAACUUUUUCUCUACAAACGAUGGAAAGAAAUAAUAUUUCUCGCCAUUUCCGAUGAGUAGAAACAAUAUUCAAAGGUAACCCUAACGCACUACUAAGUAAUAAAGAGUAAACUCCAAUCUUACUGAAAGCCAACACUUUCCUAUUCCCCAUGAUCAAGUUCAUCUUCCGGUGCUCCACAUCCCUACUUCUUCUAAGACCUUGCAAAUCAGAACAAAUGUGAAAACCACAUCCUGUAUCAAGGACCCAAGAAACAGCAUGUGAUGAGUUCUUAGAUUAAAUAGUGUAAAUACCUGCGAAAGUGGACUUUAUCUUCCCAUCCUUGACGUCCUACAAGUAUUUAGGGCAACUUCGUUUCCAAUGCCCUUCAUCGUGACAGUGAAAGCACUCUACAUCCUUUGGAUUUGAAGAAGGAGCAGCAGAACCACCUUUGGUCCCACUAGAAGAGGAUCCAUCAAGGGACUUUCCCUUGUGGCUCCUAGAAGGAGCCUUCCUCUUUUUUCCUUUCCCUUGUCCAAUUGCCAAGGCAGGGGAAGCAAUGGUAGGAGUAGGUACAACAGACUUGCCUUUUAGACUACUCUCUAGAAUUAUUAGAAGGCCUUGAAGCUUGCUUAGAGUGACUUCCUCCUUAUUCAUAUGAUACGUCAUUCUAAACUGAUCAUAACAAGGAGGCAAAGAGUGUAGGAUAAUAUCAAUAGUCAACUCUUCGUCAAAGUUGACAUUGAACUUCAGCAAGCCAUCCACAUACCUUUGCAUCCUUUUGUGAUAUCCGGAAUCCCAGGUACAUCAUUUUGACUAUUUAUUUUUCAAGUUUAUAAGGCGACUCGACAAGUUGAUGCUAUGACUCGUUGAGUCAAGUCGCGCGUGGUCGUAAGGGUUUAAUGACCUACUCGACGAGUCCAAGAGGCUACUCGACGAGUAGGCGCUGGAAUGAGAAACCGUAAAUCCCCUGGUUUGGGGCCUAUUUAAAGGAACUUAUAGGCUCCUUGGGUGGCCACACUUCACAUAGAGAAACACUAACCGGCCCCUUUCCUUGUAUAUAGAGAGAGACCAUUUUGAGCAUUCUUGUGCAUUUUGCAGGAAGGAUUGGAAGAGCUUGGUGGAUCUAACCGAGGUAAGGCUGUGGAUCUUGCAUUAUUAUGUCAUUAGUUGCUAUUCAGAGGUAAAAAGCUCUCAUCUUGGCCACAUAUUCGUUAGAUCUCAUUUUGGGAGCUUUUAGGGUUUUCUUCCAAAUCAUAUUGUGCUCUUGAGUUAUUUGAGCGUGGUUUGAGGUUAGAACCUUGGAUCUAGAUUAGAAAAGGCCUUGAAGGUCUAACGAUUCAAACUUUAUUGAGUUAGAGGCAGGUCCACAUGCACUUAACCAUCCUUGGAGCUUGUAAUGGUAUUAUGGAGCAUUUAUGCCAUGCAUGAACGUAAAGAUCGAAGUUGUACGUGACAUUCGAGCCUAGGGAGCUAAGAUCUAGUGUUUAGAGUGAUAGAUCUGCCCUAAAACAUCUGAAUGGUAGUAUGGACUGGAUGAACUCCCCGAGUCCAUGAGCAGACUCGACGAGUCGCUUAGGGGUUAUUCCGUAAGUCUGAGCAUAUUGUAACUAGUUAAGUUAGUGGAUCAACUCGACGAGUAGAGUUGGUUUUCAUAAGGCCACUGAGGGAUCGAGGGGACUCGAUGAGUCCUCCCGAUGCACUCGUCGAGUUAGGUCAACAUGGAUUGUUGACUCAAGUUUGACUUCGGUUCACUUUUAAAGUCUUGAUCUAAUGUGAGUAACUGAGAUCUUGGAGGGUUAAAAUGGUCUUUUACCCUUACCAAGAUUUAAAAGGGGUUAAUAUGAAUUUAUUAGAAUUGUGAUCUAAUUAGAGAUAAGCACCACAUGUAUUAGGCGUAGGCUAGAUCGGUGAUUCGUGUACGAGGUGUAUUAGCUUGCUUGCUUCGAGGUGAGUCUUCUCACAAUACUUCACCAAGAGUGGUGACUAUGUGUAACCAAAGGGCCUUUUUGUGCUUGCUUGAGUUAUGCAUGUUUGUGUGAUAUGUAUUGUAUGUUAUAUUAUCUGUUACCUAGACCAGACCGAAGGGUCCAAUGAACUAUGAGACCAGAGGGUUCUCAACCAGACCGAACCAGAGGGUCCAACGAGCUGUGGGAGUGGAGGGUCCCACUAAGACACAUUGACCGGAGGGACUUACAGAGAUAUAGCCUCGAGUGGUUAGUUUUUGUGAGUGGUAUUUUGGGGAACUCACUAAGUUUCGUGCUUACCGUGUUAUGUGUUAUGUGUUUUAGGUACCUCAAAGGAUCGCGGGAAGGCACCGGCGUGAUUGUACACACCUGUUCGAGAUGAUGUUGAGGAUUUUGGGAUUUGACUUUUACUGAGAUUUUAAGUUGACACUGAGACACUUAUGAUUUUCAUGAAAAAUAAUAUAUUAGUUUUAUGUAAUUUUAAAAUUGAAAAGGAAAUUGGUUGCAAAUUACGUUGUUACAAGUUGGUAUCAGAGCCUUGGUUUGAGGGAUUCAGAUGCACCUUCGGGUGUGUCUUGACUUAAACUGAGGAUUUAAGAAAAAAAUUUCAAAGAGAAACAAUUUUUCUAAAAUGAGUAAGAGUUUCUAAGAGAAAUACAAGAAAGGACAGUGUGUAUAAUCAGCCAACGCCCGAACGGUGAUUUUCCCAACAUACCCUUACUUUCAGUGUUAUGAGAUAUCUAUGAGAUACAUUAUCCAUGCUAGAGAGUAGGCUAGGUACUUCAUAUUUUAGGACUAGAGUGGUCUGAUUUGUGAUGCCUUAGCCUAGGAGUUACUACUACCUAUGGUUUGCUUUGAGUACUAGAAUGUAGCAUAAAUGAGCUUAUGAGAGUAGCCUAUGGUCGGCGAGAUAUAAAGUACUUGAGAUCUGGAAUCCUAGGAGGAGGACUUGGGGUGAUUACACAUGCGGUGUGGAAGGUAGUAUUGGGCCCGUACUACUGGAAGCACCGGUUCGAUGAGCAGUCCAAGUAAGAAUCCUCAGAAUGCUAAGAAACAAGUAAGGGGAGUGAUCGAGUGUGAGUAUACUAGAGCAAUUCUCUGAUUAUUUUAUGUUGUGGUUCAGAGACAUCACGGUGGGUAUGCACCACAACCCUGAAAGGAGUGGAGUUAGCGAUGAUGCGAUUCGCAGGAUGAUUCAUGAGGAGGUGGCCGCAACUAUCCAAGAGGCCAUCUCGGAGAUGUUUGGGUCUAUCAAAACCACCGUGAUUGAGAUGUUUGAUGAGCGUUACGAUGCGGUUUUGGAGUUGUUGUUGUCUAUUUUCACUCUGUAAUCGUGAAGCAUAAUGCAAGAUGAAACCAGAUCUUAUUUACAUUCUGUUUUCUUAAUUCUCGAUACUCUGAUUUUGAUUUCAUUAAUUAAUUCAAUACUACAUCAACGACAAAGAACAACCCGCAAUGGCAGCGACGGCUGUACACUCACAUAUUCGGGCUAGACGAAUAAACCAUAAAUUAAUUUUUUUAAAGAAUAUUAUUUUGGGUAAAUAAUCUUAACCAACUUUUUUGUAUAUAUGACAAGGAUUCCAUACAUAUAUAUGUUGGAUAAGGUGUCUAAGUCCAUAAAUAUUUCUGGUAAAUACUUGACCCGACCCGGCAUGGUCCAUUUGGGUUGCAUGGCACCAAUCAAUUGGAUAAACUAAAUGAGAGAAAUAACACAUAUGGUUUAUUAAUAUAUUAUAAGUUCUAAUAUAUUAAUAAUAUUAUUUAAUUAUUUUUGAUCUAGAAUUAAUUAAGUGAUCAAAAGAAUAACUAAUUAAAUAUAUGGGUAGAUUAUGUAAAUCUUCCAUAUCUUAUAUAGUGGGCUAAAAGGCUCCAUGGAUUAUCAAGUUGGGUUCCACCCAUAGGAUGCUCCAUGGAGUUAACCCAUGGAUUGAGAAAUGAAGAGUCAUGUUACAUUAGGGUUUUACCUAAUGCAACACACUAUAUAAGGACCAUGUCUCUCCCCAAAAUCGGCUACACUAGUGAUACACUAGAGAAACAAGAGGGCUUGGCCGAUUUUGAGUGUGUUAAAGUAUUCUCUCAAGUUUAUACUUUGCAUUUGGUGUUGUGUGAAGCAUUUGAGGCAUCACACUUGAGGUGCUAGGCUCACAAGCUUUCAAGGAACACUUUCAACAACAAGGUAUGUAGUUCUAUCUUUUAUACAAAGAAAAUUGUACCCCAUGUAUGCUAGAUAGGUUCAUAACCUUGGAAAACAACUUUGCAUGAUUAUUAGACAAACAUAGAUCCAAGGUUAUUAGGGUUGCAUGUACACUUAGGAAGUGUUAGAAUGCUUAAAACCCGUAAGUGGUAUCAAAGCCUAGGCUUGUUUGUUUGAUACUUGAUGCAAUAUACUGGAAAAAAGUCGAAAAACUUGUUGUCUGCCUGAUGAACUCGCCAAGUCCAUGGGGGGGCUCGCCGAGUUCAUGUGUAUCUUCAACCUACUCGCCGAGUAGGUUCAUGCACUCGGUGAGUAGGAGCCACAGAGUGCAGAUUUUUGACUUUAGUUGCUGGAAAUGGACUAGAAACAUUACCCUAAACUGUUUUGGUACUUGAAAACUUGUUUUAGAUGGUGUAAUGUCUUUGCUAAUCCAUUUACAACACCUAGUUAUCAAAAUUACAAAGUUUUAAGCGUAAUUUUUUAUUCAUGAAAGUGUUCAUAUUCAUUUUCUUGAUCUUAUGAUGUUUAGAUGAUCAUAGGAAUUAUUUGUAACCUAUGUGGUAGAUUAAUUCUUGAUCAUAAUGUGUUUUAAUGGAGUCCAUAACGUGUCCUCAAGUUAUGGAAAGCCAAGAGUCACACUUGAAUUAAAACCAUUAAAAGAACAAAAGAGUUAGAAAAAUUAAGAGUGUUCAUUUUAUUACUCUAUUUAACUCAUAAGUUACAAGAAAUGAAAAUUUUUGAAAGUUUACAAAACUUGCCCUCAAGUUUUGGAACAAGUAAAGUCAUAUUAACAACUUUAGUUCCAACCCUUAGAAUUUUAAAAGUUAAAAUUCAACCCUUAUACUUAUAUUAUUAUGAUUUAAUAAUUAUAUAUAUAUAUAAGAACAAAGUCGUCUUACCGCUAGUACGCCUCAUUCACGAAGCCGGUCUAUAAGGUGGGUAUAAGGUUGUUGCCUAUAAAAUGGUGACUUAAUGGGUGUCCACUCUCACCCACCGCUUGCUUGACCGGUGGAGGGUCGUUAGCCGAACGGGUAAGACAAGGACUUAUAAAUUCUCAUUAAAAGUAUGAUGAAUAUUAUAAAGUAACUAAAUGUUUUAUUAAAUUCCCAAUCUUAGUUACUUUAGGAAAAAUGUGAAUAAGGUGCUAAUCCAUGAAAUUACACUUUACACUUUGUCUAAGUCGUUAGUGGAGCGUGUGUGGUUAACCGGCACACUAACUUGGACUUAACAAGGUAGGUAAAGGGUGACUUAAUAUUUAUCAUAGUAUCGAUGGAGCGUGUGUGGUUAACCGGCACAUCGAUUGAGGGGUAAUUUAUUAAGGGUACCAAAUAAUUUGCAUGGUUACUUCACACCUCGUUUUGUGAUCCUCGGCGUCCCAGUCACAAAACUUGGAGGGCACACUCGAGAUUGAAACAUGCCUUUGAAAAAGUUCAUUGAAUCUCAAAAGAAUCUAGGAGUUUCUAAGAACCAAAUUAAAUAUUUAUUAAUAUUUCGACUUUGGUAGGAAUUGGUGAAUCGUCAUUUACCUACGUUUCAAAUAUGUUAUUACUUAGAUUACGGCGUACCUCUUCUAAGUAUAAUAUAUUGUGAUUGGGUCCUAGCCUUAAUACUACAUUUGGGUGUUUU